UACGGAGGGUGCAAACGUUGCUCGGAAUUAUUGGGCGUAAAGCGCACGUAGGCGGCCAAUUAAGUCGGGUGUGAAAGCCCAGGGCUCAACCCUGGAAGUGCACUCGAAACUGAUUGGCUUGAAUAUGGAAGAGGGUCGCGGAAUUCCCGGUGUAGAGGUGAAAUUCGUAGAUAUCGGGAGGAACACCAGUGGCGAAGGCGGCGACCUGGGCCAAUAUUGACGCUGAGGUGCGAAAGCGUGGGGAGCAAACAGG
rnacentral:rRNA from 1 species